AACGAACGCUGGCGGCGUGGAUAAGACAUGCAAGUCGAACGGAUUUUCCGCUGUAGCAAUACAGUGGGAGGUCAGUGGCGCAAGGGUGCGUAACACGUGGGCAACCUGCCCUGAAGUUGGGGAUAGCCCGCCGAAAGGCGGAUUAAUACCGAAUGUGGCUAGCUGCCGAGUGGUGGCGACGCUAAAGCUGGGGCAACCUGGCGCUUCUGGAUGGGGCCCGCGGCCUANCAGCUUGUUGGUGAGGUAACGGCUCACCAAGGCUAUGACGGGUAGCUGGUCUGAGAGGACGACCAGCCACACUGGAACUGAGACACGGCCCAAACUCCUACGGGAGGCAGCAGUGGGGAAUAUUGGACAAUGGGCGCAAGCCUGAUCCAGCCAUGCCGCGUGAGUGAUGAAGGCCCUAGGGUUGUAAAGCUCUUUUGUGCGGGAAGAUAAUGACGGUACCGC
rnacentral:rRNA from 1 species